rnacentral:rRNA from 1 species
UACGAAGGGGGCGAGCGUUGUUCGGAUUUACUGGGCGUAAAGGGCGUGCAGGCGGUUUGUUAAGUGCAGGGUGAAAGCUCCCGGCUCAACUGGGAGAGGUCCUUGCAUACUGGCGAACUCGAGGGAGGCAGAGGAAAGUGGAAUUCCCGGUGUAGUGGUGAUAUGCGUAGAUAUCGGGAGGAACACCAGUGGCGAAGGCGACUACCUGGCCUGUUCUUGACGCUGAGGCGCGAAAGCUAGGGGAGCAAACGGG